rnacentral:lncRNA from 1 species
CUGUAUGAGUUCGGACGAAGUCUUCCUGCGGCCGGAGUCGGGGACGAGAUCUGGCUCCCGUAGGAGUCCGGGCGAAGUCUACCUGCAAUUAAAGUCAGGGGCGAAGUCUGGCUCCCUUAGGGGUCCGGACGAAGUUUACCAGUAGUUGAGGUCGGGGACGGAGCCCGGCUCUCGUAGGAGUCCGGGCGAAGCCUUCCAGCAGUUGAAGUCGAGGAUGAAGUCCGGCUCCCGUAGGAGUCCGGACGAAGUCUUCCAG